CCGCAACGACUGCUACGAGCCUCAAAAAAUCUGCCCGAUUCCAUUCUGAAGAGCUAUAAUAGAUAUUUGGCAGGUAGCGUCUCAACUCAAUUGGAAACCUAUCCAGUGGAAGAUCACACUCUUGAUAGGCGACGUUGCAGGGAAAAUCUAAUAAAACAUCACAAACGUAACCGUGUGCAUUGAAUCAGAAUGUGAGGAUUUCGAAGUUAAGGGGAUUGAUAAGGUCUCCUGUUAACCAGCUUAAAUCAGCAGGAAAGAAAGGCCAACGCAGAUCUCGGUGUACACAAGACCUGUUUUCGUUACAAAAUUAUACUCAUUAAACGAUAGUCCAGGGUGCUAUGGCACCCUUUCGGCAUACGUAUUUUCUACUUGAAAAUCAUGCGCGAAAUACCGCUGUCCUUCCCGUCCAGGUGCAGUCCGUCAAUACAACGGAAAAUGAACGGAUUGCCAAUCGAUUGUAGAAGCAAAGGUUCUGUACCUCUAUAAAUGGUCCCUGAAAAAAGAAAAAAAUUAUUAUCCAAACAUGUUGCAAAUUUCAGCCCUUUCAUUGGCAAUAAAAACCUGGAUAAAAAGCAACUAUAGACCCUGCUGCAACAAUGCCAUGAGUCACAAAAACUCCCAUGCCAGCCCCAGGUAUAGUACUUUUUUUUAGCUGAACAGUGUAGCCGAACAUGCUUUCCAUUACCUAGACAAAGGAAAUCUAAGCUGGUUAAAUUACAAACUAUUGCUUUUUUUUUAAUGAGUAAACUGGGAUCUACCUUCAGUGAUU